AAAAAGGGUGCUUGCUUCAUGGCAUACAGGGCAGGGUGGCAAGCGUCAGGGAAAACCGGGAAAUCAGGGAAAAGUCAGGGAAUUUUGAACAACCGGGAAAAGUCAGGGAAUAGUCAGGGAUUUUCGUGACCGGUCAGGGAAUUUUCGCGUAUGAACAAUUGCACACCGUGAUGAGCGAUACCGCGCUACGCCGCGAUCAUUCCGCGACAGUGUAAAGAAGAUCGGCCGUUUCCGUCCAAUUCCGCUUGUUUCCCACCUUCAUCAUGUAGCCUUAAAGCCUUCACAGGAAUAGACUUAGUUGGCUUUGAAUUUUGAAUUUAUUCAAUUAUUUUACUCUAAUUUGCAAUGACUAUGAAAUGGUUGCCUCCUUUUUAUUGAAGUCGAUCAAGAUUUGUAUUUCAUGCUCAACUGCAAUAAUUUACCAAAAAACCCUUUUCGAAACACUGAAACCAUUUAGCAAACAAAUCCUGUUUUCCGUAAAAAAAUGUGUUUCAUUUGAUGGUUUGCGAUAAUUACCAAAGGUCAGGGAAUUCCAUCGGUAAGUCAGGGAAAUGUCAGGGAAAAGUCAGGGAAUUUUGAAAUAGAAUUUGACUUGCCACCCUGCAGGGUCUUUGGCUCUGUAGAGUAUGGCUAUCAAGACAUACUCAGCACAUAAUUUUUGGACUGAGAGGCAGUUAGGUGUCUAAGAACCCUGGCGCCUCU
rnacentral:snRNA from 1 species